AGAUGCGAAAUGGCGCCAGACCAAAGGGGUCACAGUUGUUGUGUCAAAUUUGUUGUUUUGUUUAAUAAAACUACAAAAUGUAUUAAUUAUUUUAAAAAUGUUUACUUUUAUUUUGUACCUUGUUUUUUUACUUCCUGAUGCAGUCCCAUUUAUUAUUUUUUAAUUUAAUGAUUAUGUAAUUAACCUCGCACCUGGAAAGUUUAUGUAAUAGUAUUCAAAGGUCUAGUAUUAAAGGAAUGUAUUAACUAAUUUCUAAAUUAAAAAAUUAAAUUUAAAUUUCAAUACUUUUUUGUUAUUGUUGAUAUG